UCUUGUUAGCCAAUAUCCCAUUUUCGCGAGUUCUUCACUGAAAAUACACAAUACACAUAGUACUAUACACUCAAAAAUCAGCCGUGGAAUCCCAAAAAUAAGACCAGAUCCGCCGCUUAACACCCAUCAUAGACCCCCCCUGACUUCAUCUUCCUUCAACUGUCCACACUCACACACAUGACCACAACUCCGGCGAACUCGUCGGAAAACACAACGACCACAGACAGUCGCAUCUCCAAACCCGGCCGAAAAACAAAAAUAAAACAGCUCCCUCUUCGAACAAAAACAGCAGAUGCAAAGUCGAGUUCAAGAUCACCAGAAGCAAUUGCCGAUCGAGAUUUCCGGUCGCAGGUUCAUUUGCUCGGUUUCUGCUGCUGGAUGUUUCGUUGCUUUUAUCCCCACAGACCUGUAAAAUCAGAGCUCCAAUAAUCAGAAAGAAAUCAGUUCACUAAGGUCUAUAGACGAAUUCGACAUUAGUUGUCAUAAAGUUAGCAAUUUGGAAAACUUACGAGUUCAUAAGUUUGAUCAAGAGUUGACUUUGACGUUAUUGGACUCCAAUUGGUGUUUUGAGACUUCAGAUAGGUCUAUAUAGUUGCAUUGAACUUCUGUGCAAAGUUUGAAAGUGAUUCGAAGUGUUUAUGUGUAAUUCAGACACUGUUUAGAAAGAACGAAGAUUUAACAACUUAAGAGAAUUGUUUUUCGGUUUGAGCCUCUAUUCUUUGUUGUUAUGUUCCCGUGAGUGUUUUGAGGCUUUGAAUAAGUUUGUAUAAUGUAUUUGUACUUUUUAGUAUAAUUGGAUGGGGUCCCAAGGGUCUCAGGUGUAUUUUGGAACAUUAGUUCAGAAACUAGUUAAGUAAAGGAUUUAAAGUUUGACCAUGGUCAAUAUCGGCUCAACAUAACCUAUUCUCGGUGUUAUGGAUGUGCGAGUAGGUUUGUAGCAUGUUUUAUGAUUGAAAUGCAUAUAUGGUUUGUUUU